AGUGAACGCUGGCGGUAGGCCUAACACAUGCAAGUCGAACGGCAGCACAGUAAGAGCUUGCUCUUACGGGUGGCGAGUGGCGGACGGGUGAGGCAUACAUCGGAAUCUACUUUUUCGUGGGGGAUAACGUAGGGAAACUUACGCUAAUACCGCAUACGACCUACGGGUGAAAGCAGGGGAUAUUCGGACCUUGCGCGAUUGAAUGAGCCGAUGUCGGAUUAGCUAGUUGGCGGGGUAAAGGCCCACCAAGGCGACGAUCCGUAGCUGGUCUGAGAGGAUGAUCGGCCACACUGGAACUGAGACACGGUCCAGACUCCUACGGGAGGCAGCAGUGGGGAAUAUUGGACAAUGGGCGCAAGCCUGAUCCAGCCAUACCGCGUGGGUGAAGAAGGCCUUCGGGUUGUAAAGCCCUUUUGUUGGGAAAGAAAAGCAGCAGGUUAAUACCCCGCUGUUCUGACGGUACCCAAAGAAUAAGCACCGGCUAACUUCGUG
rnacentral:rRNA from 1 species